CCGGCGACCGGCGCACGGGUGAGUAACACGUAUGUAACCUGCCCUCUUCAGGGGGACAACCUUCCGAAAGGGAGGCUAAUCCCGCGUAUAUCGGUUUCGGGCAUCCGAGAUCGAGGAAAGAUUCAUCGGAAGAGGAUGGGCAUGCGGCGCAUUAGCUAGACGGCGGGGUAACGGCCCACCGUGGCGACGAUGCGUAGGGGUUCUGAGAGGAAGGUCCCCCACACUGGUACUGAGACACGGACCAGACUCCUACGGAAGGCAGCAG
rnacentral:rRNA from 1 species